rnacentral:lncRNA from 1 species
CUUGGUGUUAUCGAUGAAUACAAAGCUUAUAGAUUGUUUUAUCCAGCCACAAAGAUCAUCGUAAGGAAAUAUGUUGUAUUUGAAGAAGAAAAAUAGUGGGAUUGAGGAAGAACUGAAGAAGAAUGCAAAGUUUAUGUUCUAAUUGAUGAGAGGGGUGCAAGAAAUAGAAGACAACCAACUUGGAUGGAAGAUUUUCGAAACCAAACUUAACAAUAAUGGGGAGGUGGAGAAGAUGAAGGCA